AAUGUUACAUACUAUCCAUCCAUGCGCAUCUGUUUGUGAACCAAGAGCCCUGAGAUGGAUUUUGAGACAUGAAUCCAGGCCCUUCGGGGCGCAGCAGGCGCGAAAACUUUACAAUGCGGGAAACCGUGAUAAGGGGACACCGAGCGCCAGCAUCAUAUGCUGGCUGUCCGGAUGUGUAAAAUACAUCCGUUAGCAAGGGCCGGGCAAGACCGGUGCCAGCCGCCGCGGUAACACCGGCGGCCCGAGUGGUGAUCGUGAUUAUUGGGUCUAAAGGGUCCGUAGCCGGUUUGGUCAGUCCUCCGGGAAAUCUGAUAGCUCAACUAUUAGGCUUUCGGGGGAUACUGCCAGACUUGGAACCGGGAGAGGUAAGAGGUACUACAGGGGUAGGAGUGAAAUCUUGUAAUCCCUGUGGGACCACCUGUGGCGAAGGCGUCUUACCAGAACGGGUUCGACGGUGAGGGACGAAAGCUGGGGGCACGAACCGGAUUAGAUACCCGGGUAGUCCCAGCCGUAAACGAUGCUCGCUAGGUGUCAGGCAUGGCGCGACCGUGUCUGGUGCCGCAGGGAAGCCGUGAAGCGAGCCACCUGGGAAGUACGGCCGCAAGGCUGAAACUUAAAGGAAUUGGCGGGGGAGCAC
rnacentral:rRNA from 1 species